AGUCGGAAUCGCUAGUAAUCGCGGAUCAGCACGCCGCGGUGAAUACGUUCCCGGGCCUUGUACACACCGCCCGUCACACCACGAGAGUUUGUAACACCCGAAGUCGGUGAGGUAACCGUUAAGGAGCAGCCGCCUAAGGUGGGAUAGAUGAUUGGGGUGAAGUCGUAACAAGGUAGCCGUAUCGGAAGGUGCGGCUGGAUCACCUCCUUU
rnacentral:rRNA from 1 species